UAGGCCUAACACAUGCAAGUCGAACGGGAAGGCGGCUUUCGGGUCGCUGGAGAGUGGCGAACGGGUGAGUAACGCGUAACUGAUCUGCCCCAUAGACUGGGAUAACCUUUGGAAACAGAGGCUAAUACGGGAUGAACUUGGCGGAGUUAGGUUUCUGCUGAGGAAAGGUUUAGGCGCUAUGGGAUGAGGUUGCGGUCCAUCAGCUAGUUGGUGAGGUAAAGGCUCACCAAGGCGAUGACGGAUAGGGGAUCUGAGAGGGUGGCCCCCCACACUGGGACUGAGACACGGCCCAGACUCCUACGGGAGGCAGCAGUAAGGGAUAUUGCACAAUGGGCGGAAGCCUGAUGCAGCGACGCCGCGUGGGCGAAGAAGGUUUUCGGAUCGUAAAGUCCUUUUCUAUGUGACGAGGUAGGACGGUAGCAUAGGAAUAAGUGUCGGCUAACUACGUGCCAGCAGUCGCGGUAAAACGUAGGACGCGAACGUUAUCCGGAGUUACUGGGCGUAAAGCGCGCGCAGGCGGUGUCAUAAGUUACCCAUGAAAGGUACUGGCUAAACUGGUAUUGGUUGGGUGAAACUGUGGUACUAGAGAGAAAUAGAGGGAAGCGGAAUUCCGG
rnacentral:rRNA from 1 species